CAUCUACUCCCUCCGUUUGAAAUUACUUGUCUCAGAAAUGGAUGUAUUUAGAACUAAAAUACAUCUAGAUACAUUUAUUUCUGUAACAAGUAAUUCCUAACGGAGGGAGUACGUG
rfam:Triticum urartu cultivar G1812 contig876353, whole genome shotgun sequence.